UUUAACUGAAGAGUUUGAUCAUGGCUCAGAUUGAACGCUGGCGGCAGGCUUAACACAUGCAAGUCGAGCGGGGGAAGGUGGCUUGCUACCGGACCUAGCGGCGGACGGGUGAGUAAUGCUUAGGAAUCUGCCUAUUAGUGGGGGACAACAUCUCGAAAGGGAUGCUAAUACCGCAUAC
rnacentral:rRNA from 1 species